GACGUGGAAGACUAGUGUUAUUCAUCUUUAAUAGGUUAAAGGGUAACUAGACGGGUAUUUCUAGCCAAAAUAGGUACAGAUUUACUAGAGUUAUAUGAGAGAGGUGAGUAUUUAAGGUGGAGAGAUGAAAUUUUUUAAUACCUUAAGGACUGAUAAUGGCGAAAGCAAACCUUCUAUGUAAUAAACUGACGUUGAGGGACGAAGGCCUGGGUAGCCAACAGG
rnacentral:rRNA from 1 species